rnacentral:rRNA from 1 species
UACAUCCUCUGAAAACCCUAGAGAUAAGUAUUUCCUUCGGGAGCAGAGUGACAGGUGGUGCAUGGUUGUCGUCAGCUCGUGUCGUGAGAUGUUGGGUUAAGUCCCGCAACGAGCGCAACCCUUGAUCUUAGUUGCCAUCAUUAAGUUGGGCACUCUAAGGUGACUGCCGGUGACAAACCGGAGGAAGGUGGGGAUGACGUCAAAUCAUCAUGCCCCUUAUGACCUGGGCUACACACGUGCUACAAUGGACGGUACAAAGAGCUGCAAGACCGCGAGGUGGAGCUAAUCUCAUAAAACCGUUCUCAGUUCGGAUUGUAGGCUGCAACUCGCCUACAUGAAGCUGGAAUCGCUAGUAAUCGCGGAUCAGCAUGCCGCGGUGAAUACGUUCCCGGGCCUUGUACACACCGCCCGUCACACCACGAGAGUUUGUAACACCCGAAGUCUUGGGGUUAAGUUGUGGACCCAGCCGCCCAAGGUGGGCCAGAUGCUUGGGGCGACGUCGUCCCAAGGAAUCCAUGGG